GCCUUCGUAGCUCAGUGGAUAGAGCAACGGUUUCCUAAACCGCAGGUCGCAUGUUCGAUCCAUGCCGAGGGCGCCA
rnacentral:tRNA from 2 species